rnacentral:rRNA from 1 species
GAUGAACGCUGGCGGCGUGCUUAACACAUGCAAGUCGAACGGAAAGGCCCAAGCUUGCUUGGGUACUCGAGUGGCGAACGGGUGAGUAACACGUGGGUGAUCUGCCCUGCACUUCGGGAUAAGCCUGGGAAACUGGGUCUAAUACCGGAUAGGACGAUGGUUUGGAUGCCAUUGUGGAAAGUUUUUUCGGUGUGGGAUGAGCUCGCGGCCUAUCAGCUUGUUGGUGGGGUAAUGGCCUACCAAGGCGUCGACGGGUAGCCGGCCUGAGAGGGUGUACGGCCACAUUGGGACUGAGAUACGGCACAGACUCCUACGGGAGGCAGCAGUGGGGAAUAUUGCACAACGGGCGCAAGCCUGAUGCAGCGACGCCGCGUGGGGGAUGACGGCCUUCGGGUUGUAAACUCCUUUCGCUAGGGACGAAGCGUUUUUGUGACGGUACCUGGAGAAGAAGCACCGGCUAACUACGUG